AAACAUAAAUUAAAAAAUGUGCUCCUCCAAGCAAAAAUUACUAAUCUAGAUGUUGUAAAAGCCUCAGCUUAAUUCAGCUGAGUAUGGGGAAGUACACCCAUUGACAUUGGGUUUGGAACACAUUUGCCCAUAACUUUGAUACAACACUCCUCUGUUUGACGCAUAAGAUGAGAUGCCAACACCUUACCAGGAGUCACGACCGAACGAAUUCUGAGGGUUCCCUUCUAUGUUUCUACGCAUCCCUGCUUGUCCACCUUGUUCUCCAGGGCCUCUUUGAGCAUUAGAA
rnacentral:lncRNA from 1 species